rnacentral:rRNA from 1 species
AGCGUUUUCCGGAAAUAUCUUGGCGUUAAGCCCAAAUAUGGCGGGUCCGUUCAGUUAGGGGGUGAAUUCCCAGGGUUAAACCCCCGGGACUGCCCUUUGAAACCGCCGAAUCUGGAAUAUGGAGAGAGGUGAAUGGAAUUCCCAGGUUAAGAGGUGGAACUUGUAGAUAUUUCGGAGGGACACCAACUGGCGAGGGCGGGUCCCCGGGCCCAUUAACUGAACUGUAGGUGCGGAAAGCGUGGGGAGCCAACAGGAUUAGAUAACCUGGUAGUCCACCCCCGUAAACGAUGAAUGUUAGCCGUCGGGCAGUAUACUGUUCGGUGCGCAGCUNACGCCAUAUACAUACCGCCUGGGGAGUACGGUCGCCAGACUAAACUCAAAGGAAUUGACGGGGCCCGCACAAACGCUGGAGCAUGUGGUUAAUUCGAAGCUACGCGCAGAACCAUACCAGCCCUAGACAUCCUGGGACCGCUGCAGAGAUGCACUUUCCACUUCGGUGUCUCAGAGACAGGUGCUGCAUGGCUGUAGUCAGCUCGUGUCGUGAGAUGUUGGGCUAAGUCCCGCUACGAGCGCAACCCUCGCCCUUAGUUGCCAGCAUUAAGUUGGGCACUCUAAGGGGACUGCCGGUGAUAAGCCGAGAGGAAGGUGGGGAUGACGUCAAGUCCUCAUGGGAGUUACGGGCUGGGCUACACACGUGCUACAAUGGUGGUGACAGUGGGCAGCGAGCACGCGAGUGUGAGCUAAUCUCCAAAAGCCAUCUCAGUUCGGAUUGCACUCUGCAACUCGAGUGCAUGAAGUUGGAAUCGCUAGUAAUCGCGGAUCAGCAUGCCGCCGCGAUCCGUUCUCCGUCCUUUACACAACGUCCGUACACGCAUGGGAGUUGGUUUAACCCGAAGGUAGUCCCUAGCCUACAGGGUGCGUGUNUCUCAUCUCAUGUGCGUGGGUCUGUGCCCC